AAACCUUUUUAUUUCCUUUGGUUCUAGAUUUAAAAGGAAUUGUAUUUGUCAUCCAGAGUCAAAGUAAUUCUUUUCACGCAAAGAGAGCAGAACAGUUAAAAAAAAGCAUCUUAAAGCAAGCAGCAAAUCUUACACAGGAACUCCCCAGAGUCCUUCUUCUUCAUCAGCUGUCUAAGCAGGAAGGUGCAUGGACCAUACUUCCAUUGUUACCACACUUUUCUGUAACAUAUAGCAGAAAUUCAUCAUGGAUUUUCUUCUGUGAAGAGGAGACAAGAAUACAAAUUCCAGAACUCUUAGAAACACUCAGAAGAUAUGACCCAUCAAAG